UGUAUACUCGUAGACUAAUACGUGGGUUCUGUAAGCGGAAGUGUAGUGAAAUUAGCGCAGUCCGAUCCAUCUGUCUUAAUGGAUUGAUUCGAGGGAUUUAUUGAGUACGUUACGUGAACGUGUGCAUAUCAUAUGUAUUGUGUAACGCAUACACGCCGUACACUUUGCAGCACCCGCAUAUGGGAGAACGAUUCACCUGUUUGACGUUAGCUGUGAAAUUGCUCGAAACGUAACAGCCCUGCCAAUCGUGCCUGUCCAGCGCAGCUGCAACUCGGGCGAGCUAAAAGUGAUUCGUUAACCGUGCGAUGCUCACCCACCUCCACUGAUAUGAAAAUUGAAGAAUAAUAUGAUCUCGAAGUCCAUAGUCUAGAAGUUCAUGGGGUCUCCAAAUUAGUUUAUCUACAUACCUUGGCUAUGACAACAACGGGCUUGGAGAAAUCACCACUGAGGCGCUUGAGCAAAGGUAACGCAAACAAUUGAGCAGUUACUGUUGCGGAGACAGGAUUACCAGGUAAACACAAUAUGUAUUUCUUCGUCUUGUUAUAUUCGCAAGUAGCAUAUGUUGUUGGCUUCCCUGGUUUCAUAUUAACUCGCCC